ACGAACGCUGGCGGCGUGCUUAACACAUGCAAGUCGAACGGGUCUGCCCUGUUUUUUGCGGGGUGGGUCAGUGGCGAACGGGUGAGUAACACGUGAGUAACCUGCCCCUCACUUCUGGAUAACCGCUUGAAAGGGUGGCUAAUACGGGGUGUUCUGGCUGUGCCGCAUGGUGUGGCUGGGAAAGAUUCACUUUUGUGGUGUUUUGGUGGGGGAUGGGCUCGCGGCCUAUCAGCUUGUUGGUGGGUUGAUGGCCUGCCAAGGCUUUGACGGGUAGCCGGCCUGAGAGGGUGGGCGGUCACACUGGGACUGAGAUACGGCCCAGACUCCUGCGGGAGGCAGCAGUGGGGGGUAUUGCACAAUGGGCGGAAGCCUGAUGCAGCGACGUCGCGUGAGGGAUGGAGGCCUUCGGGUUGUGAACCUCUUUCGCCGGUGAAGAAGGUCCUGCUCUUUGUGGUGGGGUUGACGGUAGCCGGGUUAUGAAGCGCCGGCUAACUACGUG
rnacentral:rRNA from 1 species